AUAUCUUCAGGCAGGAGGAAGGUAUCGCGCUCUAGACCAAAGACCUCCUUAUCAAUUGUAAAGUGCAGGGUCUUAUCUUGAGGCACGAGUGUCGUUUCCACAUAACGACAAAGGGUUUGUAAAGAAGAUGGCGCCUCCAUAUUUGAAUAAUCAACAACUUUAGUAACCUGUUUAAAGAAAUAAAAAAAAUGACGUGGUAAUUCAAUAAAAACGACGGUUUAAGGAAUAAACCGUCGUCUGAAAACAAUUUAAACGACGGUGAAAAAACCGUCGUGGUGAAUUAUUUAUUACGUCUUAGAAAAC
rnacentral:lncRNA from 1 species